rnacentral:rRNA from 1 species
CGUAUAACAAUCGAAACCGCAUGGUUUUGAUUUGAAAGGCGCUUUCGGGUGUCGCUGAUGGAUGGACCCGCGGUGCAUUAGCUAGUUGGUGAGGUAACGGCUCACCAAGGCCACGAUGCAUAGCCGACCUGAGAGGGUGAUCGGCCACAUUGGGACUGAGACACGGCCCAAACUCCUACGGGAGGCAGCAGUAGGGAAUCUUCGGCAAUGGACGAAAGUCUGACCGAGCAACGCCGCGUGAGUGAAGAAGGUUUUCGGAUCGUAAAACUCUGUUGUUAGAGAAGAACAAGGAUGAGAGUAACUGUUCAUCCCUUGACGGUAUCUAACCAGAAAGCCACGGCUAACUACGUGCCAGCAGCCGCGGUAAUACGUAGGUGGCAAGCGUUGUCCGGAUUUAUUGGGCGUAAAGCGAGCGCAGGCGGUUUCUUAAGUCUGAUGUGAAAGCCCCCGGCUCAACCGGGGAGGGUCAUUGGAAACUGGGAGACUUGAGUGCAGAAGAGGAGAGUGGAAUUCCAUGUGUAGCGGUGAAAUGCGUAGAUAUAUGGAGGAACACCAGUGGCGAAGGCGGCUCUCUGGUCUGUAACUGACGCUGAGGCUCGAAAGCGUGGGGAGCAAACAGGAUUAGAUACCCUGGUAGUCCACGCCGUAAACGAUGAGUGCUAAGUGUUGGAGGGUUUCCGCCCUUCAGUGCUGCAGCUAACGCAUUAAGCACUCCGCCUGGGGAGUACGACCGCAAGGUUGAAACUCAAAGGAAUUGACGGGGGCCCGCACAAGCGGUGGAGCAUGUGGUUUAAUUCGAAGCAACGCGAAGAACCUUACCAGGUCUUGACAUCCUUUGACCACUCUAGAGAUAGAGCUUCCCCUUCGGGGGCAAAGUGACAGGUGGUGCAUGGUUGUCGUCAGCUCGUGUCGUGAGAUGUUGGGUUAAGUCCCGCAACGAGCGCAACCCUUAUUGUUAGUUGCCAUCAUUCAGUUGGGCACUCUAGCAAGACUGCCGGUGACAAACCGGAGGAAGGUGGGGAUGACGUCAAAUCAUCAUGCCCCUUAUGACCUGGGCUACACACGUGCUACAAUGGGAAGUACAACGAGUUGCGAAGUCGCGAGGCUAAGCUAAUCUCUUAAAGCUUCUCUCAGUUCGGAUUGCAGGCUGCAACUCGCCUGCAUGAAGCCGGAAUCGCUAGUAAUCGCGGAUCAGCACGCCGCGGUGAAUACGUUCCCGGGCCUUGUACACACCGCCCGUCACACCACGAGAGUUUGUAACACCC